UACGUAGGGUGCGAGCGUUAAUCGGAAUUACUGGGCGUAAAGCGCACGUAGGCGGAUGUGUCAGUCAGGGGUGAAAUCCCGGAGCUCAACUCCGGAACUGCCCUUGAUACAGCACGUCUUGAGUCCGAGAGAGGUGAGUGGAAUUCCUAGUGUAGAGGUGAAAUUCGUAGAUAUUAGGAAGAACACCAGUGGCGAAGGCGGCUCACUGGCUCGGUACUGACGCUGAGGUGCGAAAGCGUGGGGAGCAAACAGG
rnacentral:rRNA from 1 species